rnacentral:rRNA from 1 species
CGGUAGCACAGAGGAGCUUGCUCCUUGGGUGACGAGCGGCGGACGGGUGAGUAAAGUCUGGGGAUCUGCCUGAUGGAGGGGGAUAACUACUGGAAACGGUAGCUAAUACCGCAUGACGUCUUCGGACCAAAGUGGGGGACCUUCGGGCCUCACGCCAUGAGAUGAACCCAGAUGGGAUUAGCUGGUAGGUGAGGUAACGGCUCACCUAGGCGACGAUCCCUAGCUGGUCUGAGAGGAUGACCAGCCACACUGGAACUGAGACACGGUCCAGACUCCUACGGGAGGCAGCAGUGGGGAAUAUUGCACAAUGGGGGAAACCCUGAUGCAGCCAUGCCGCGUGUGUGAAGAAGGCCUUCGGGUUGUAAAGCACUUUCAGCGGGGAGGAAGGCAAUAAACUUAAUAAGUUUGUUGAUUGACGUUACCCGCAGAAGAAGCACCGGCUAACUCCGUGCCAGCAGCCGCGGUAAUACGGAGGGUGCAAGCGUUAAUCGGAAUGACUGGGCGUAAAGCGCACGCAGGCGGUCUGUUAAGUUGGAUGUGAAAUCCCCGGGCUCAACCCGGGAACAGCAUUCAAAACUGACAGGCUAGAGUCUCGUAGAGGGGGGUAGAAUUCCAGGUGUAGCGGUGAAAUGCGUAGAGAUCUGGAGGAAUACCGGUGGCGAAGGCGGCCCCCUGGACGAAGACUGACGCUCAGGUGCGAAAGCGUGGGGAGCAAACAGGAUUAGAUACCCUGGUAGUCCACGCCGUAAACGAUGUCGACUUGGAGGCUGUGGUCUUGAACCGUGGCUUCCGGAGCUAACGCGUUAAGUCGACCGCCUGGGGAGUACGGCCGCAAGGUUAAAACUCAAAUGAAUUGACGGGGGCCCGCACAAGCGGUGGAGCAUGUGGUUUAAUUCGAUGCAACGCGAAGAACCUUACCUACUCUUGACAUCCAGAGAAGACUGUAGAGAUACGGUUGUGCCUUCGGGAGCUCUGAGACAGGUGCUGCAUGGCUGUCGUCAGCUCGUGUUGUGAAAUGUUGGGUUAAGUCCCGCAACGAGCGCAACCCUUAUCCUUUGUUGCCAGCGAUACGGUCGGGAACUCAAAGGAGACUGCCGGUGAUAAACCGGAGGAAGGUGGGGAUGACGUCAAGUCAUCAUGGCCCUUACGAGUAGGGCUACACACGUGCUACAAUGGCGCAUACAAAGAGAAGCGAGCCUGCGAGGGUGAGCGGACCUCAUAAAGUGCGUCGUAGUCCGGAUUGGAGUCUGCAACUCGACUCCAUGAAGUCGGAAUCGCUAGUAAUCGUAGAUCAGAAUGCUACGGUGAAUACGUUCCCGGGCCUUGUACACACCGCCCGUCACACCAUGGGAGUGGGUUGCAAAAGAAGUAGGUAG